UUUAUAGACGGUUUUCCCAA
rnacentral:piRNA from 1 species